UUUUUUUAUGGUGAGACUGUAAAUCCUUGGCAUUUAAGGACUCGGCACAUUCCACUGAUUCUUUUAUAUAUAUAUAUAAAAUAUAUAUAUUAUAUAUUAUAUAUUAAUUUAUUCGUGAGAGACACAGAGAGGCAGAGACCAGGCAGAGCGAGGGGCAGGCUGCCUGCAGGGAGCCCGAGGCGGGACUCGAUCCCGGGGCCCGGGGUCACGCUGAGCCCAAGGCAGCCGCUCCACCUCCACCGCGGAGCCCGUGCCCGGUUCCCCGCAGGUUCUCCCGCCUGGAGGGCAGCGGGAGGCCCGGGCUCUCUGCUCUCGCAGCCCGGAGGCCCCGAGCCCGGGGCGGCCGCCGCGGGAAGGCCCACGGCCCGCGGCCUCGACAGAAGGCAGUGUGAGAAAGGCGGCGGCAGGCCGGGACGGGUUGGAGCGACGACGUGGGGGCCUGAGCCUUCCUCCGGGGCUCGGAGGACCAGAGAGGCCAGGAGGCUGCGCAGCACGGGCUGGGGCCUGGGCUCCUGCAGAAGGGACGCGAAGACGCCGCACCACGUCCCAAACGGUAAGAAAAACGCAGACGCGACGCGGGUCCGUCUGCGCAGACCACAAGCACAUUUGAGUGAAGGUCAAGAGCUUCCCAGAACCUUGAGAAAUAGGGGGGGUGCGAGAAGGACGGGUGCAAGGGGCCGGGAAGCGCCCGGAGGGGAACAGGCAGCCACCGGGAAGCGCCCGGAGGGGAACAGGCAGCGGGGGCCACCUGGGCCCUGGGGGGAGGGCUGGGCGCGCGAGGGGGGGCCAAGGUCUCCAGGAGCCCGGGCCGGGGGGGUGGGGCACAUCCAGAUUGUCUCCCCUGAGUGGGGGCGAUUUACGGAAGGAGGGGAACGCUCCCUCUGCCAGGGGAAAGCUGACACCACACGGCAGCCUGGGGAAGGAAGUGCUCCCCCGCGACCCCAGGGGCACGGAAGCGACUUCUCACCCUUAGCAAGUGCACACUCCCGGGCAGAGGCCCCAGAGGCCGGACCACGCCAACCCUGCACGCCCCACACUUGCGGCGGCCGUGGGGGCUGUGCGGGACCGGCCCCCCUCGAGAUUCGGAUCUGGGCGCCUGCGGAGAGGCUGAGCCACCCGUGGCCACCGGCCUGGUCUGGGCGUCGCCCUCCCACCCGCCACCCACCCUGCCCUCCUCACAUGAUUUCUGUUGAGAACAGCAGCCCUUUGGAGGCAACUUUGACCCCAGGAGUGUUCUGUGUUCUGCAGUGUUGUGCAGAUACAGACGCGCCAGGGCCCGGCAGCCACAGGAACGGCCCUGUUGGGGGGGGGGGGCACGGUGGGCAGGGGAGCGCGGACUCGCGGCAGCGAGUGUCCCCAUGUCCUCCAGAUGGCUUUGGGAACAGCCCUGAGGCCCUGCCCGCCCCACAGUGCUCCCUGGGGACCCCCUGUGGCUUGUCCUGCUCCUUCCUGUGA
rnacentral:lncRNA from 1 species